rnacentral:tRNA from 1 species
GUUUAGCUCAGCUGGGAGAGCACCUCCCUUACAAGGAGGGGGUCACUGGUUCGAUCCCAGUAAC